rnacentral:rRNA from 1 species
AUUGAACGCUGGCGGCAGGCCUAACACAUGCAAGUCGAGCGGAUGAAGGGAGCUUGCUCCUGGAUUCAGCGGCGGACGGGUGCGUAAUGCCUAGGAAUCUGCCUGGUAGUGGGGGAUAACGUCCGGAAACGGGCACUAAUACCGCAUACGUCCUGAGGGAGAAAGUGGGGGAUCUUCGGACCUCACGCUAUCAGAUGAGCCUAGGUCGGAUUAGCUAGUUGGUGGGGUAAAGGCCUACCAAGGCGACGAUCCGUAACUGGUCUGAGAGGAUGAUCAGUCACACUGGAACUGAGACACGGUCCAGACUCCUACGGGAGGCAGCAGUGGGGAAUAUUGGACAAUGGGCGAAAGCCUGAUCCAGCCAUGCCGCGUGUGUGAAGAAGGUCUUCGGAUUGUAAAGCACUUUAAGUUGGGAGGAAGGGCAGUAAGUUAAUACCUUGCUGUUUUGACGUUACCAACAGAAUAAGCACCGGCUAACUUCGUG